UUAGCUGUCUGCCUGACAUGAGCGCCUGAAGGGUGUAUCUUAUCUGCAGUGUCUGGCUCAGUAGUCACAUCAGUAAGUUCUCAGCAAAUACUUGUAAGCCAAUGGAAGUGGUAAAUGCUGGCUACAUAGAAGGCACAGUAUGAGAUGACUGGAAAACCAACAUUUGGUGCACAUGUAAGGCAACAUGGCAAAGUGCUGAGGUAUAUGGUGGGACCAAAAGGGAGCCCCCCCCCCGAAGAAUGGAGAUGGUCAAUGCAGGAUUUGAGGUCGUCAUGUGGAUAUCACUAUCACCUGAUAAGGAGACCUCCAAUCUCAUCACUAUAGGAGGCAGCAGAAUGGAACUGGCAAAAUUUCCUCAUCUCUGAUCCCAAUCUGGCCUGUCUAUGCUGGCCCCAAAGUUUCAUAUUUUCACUUAAAACAUGAUACAUUUGUCUGAAGUAAUUCAGCAGCAAGGCAGAAUGCAAUCACUAAAAAUGAGAGAAGUUGCUUUUUGUCAUGGUCCCAUUACAAAAAUGCAAGUAUGUGCUGCACUACCUGUAGCAAUUCCCCUUUCCGACGUGAAGCAAUGAAUUGACCCACCUGCUCCUCUGAACAAUAAUCAGAAAAAAACGAUGUGAAAUUAUUACACAGCAAAUUCCACUGUAUGCGGUUCAGUUCUUUGUUUCUAGGUAGACUACAGCACCUGGGCAGAAAAAGUGCCCCAUCCUUCAAUAGGCACAAACCCCCCUCACCUUCCAGACACUUGCUAAGCUUGCUAACAGGAGUAUUUGCCAACC